rnacentral:rRNA from 1 species
UACAGAGGUCUCAAGCGUUGUUCGGAUUCAUUGGGCGUAAAGGGUGCGUAGGCGGCGCGGUAAGUCGGGUGUGAAAUCUUGGAGCUUAACUCCGAAACUGCAUUCGAUACUGCGGUGCUUGAGGACUGGAGAGGAGACUGGAAUUCAUGGUGUAACAGUGAAAUGCGUAGAGAUCAUGAGGAAGACCAGUGGCGAAGGCGGGUCUCUGGACAGUUCCUGACACUGAGACACGAAGGCCAGGGGAGCAAACGGG